UUCAUCUUUCUUGCAUUGUCACUGCCCCCAUGUUCACUUAAUAAUGCCGUGCUUGACUGAGCAGAUGUUCACUUUUUCCUAAAAUCUUCCAUCCCCUCCAUUAAUGUCGUCCUUGACUGAGCAAUUGUUCACUUUUUCUUUGAAUCUUCCAUCUCCUCCAUUAACGCUGUGCUUGACUGAGCAGAUGUUAACUUCGUCUUUAUUUCUCCAUUCACUUUUUCUUAAAAUCUUCCAUCUCCUCCCCUUGUCGUGCAUGACUUCACUUAAUGCAUGUCGUGCUUGACUCAACAAGUGUAACUUUCCUCCAUUCACUUUAUUAGUCCCUGUCUGGAGGAAACUAUAGCGGAGGCUAUUUUCGCUAACCCGUUAUUAAUCUAAGCCAAAACAACCAAUCAUAUUUAAUUUUGUUGCAAAGAUUUUCAUGUUUCCUUGGUUCCUGCCCAGAAAAGAUGCAAAUUAUUUAGGCGAAUUUUUAUCCUCAAGUUUUUGGCAUUGGCAUAUUGGAUACAUUGGCGGUUUGCAGGGUUUCCAGGGCUUUAUGCGGUUCUCAACAAGAGAGAACGCACAUCUCCAGAGGCUACAGGGCCCGUCAAAACAGAGCCCUGACGAUUGCUUCAAACAGAUGGAGACCCAGGAAAGAUCCCAGAAAAGACUUGCAGAGAUCGGAUCUAUGGAAAACCGAGUACAAGCGCGAUAAACAAAGCAUGCAAACAUAUGGCUAAUCCCAAAUAUUUGACGAUGGAAAAGAUUCUCCCAUUAGUUGCCUGUCAGUAAAUUCCAUUUUCAUAUAUUUGUUUUACUAUUCAUAAAAAUCUGUAUUGAGAUAGAUUUUAGCAAUCAGUUUAAGAGUUUGACAGUCAAUUUAUAAAGGUGAAUUUCAAGGUAAACCGGCAACCAAACCUGAUUGAAUUUGUUAGACUGUC